AUUGAACGCUGGUGGCAGGCCUAACACAUGCAAGUCGAGCGAGCGGCGGACGGGUGAGUAGUGUCUGGGAAACUGCCUGAUGGAGGGGGAUAACUACUGGAAACGGUAGCUAAUACCGCAUACCAUCAGAUGUGCCCAGAUGGGCUUAGCUUGUAGUGGGGGUAACGGCUCACCUAGGCGAAGAUCCCUAGCUGGUCUGAGAGGAUGACCAGCCAAACUGGAACUGAGCAACGGUCCAGACUCCUACGGGAGGCAGCAGUGGGGAACAUUGCACAAGGGGCGCAAGCCUGAUGAAGCCAGGCCGCGUGUAUGAAGAAGGCCUUCGGGUGGUAAAGUACUUUCAGAGGGGAGGCGUUACCCGCAGAAGAAGCACCGGCUAACUCCGUGCCAGCAGCCGCGGUAAUUC
rnacentral:rRNA from 1 species